rnacentral:rRNA from 1 species
CCUACGGGGGGCAGCAGUGGGGAAUAUUGCGCAAUGGGCGAAAGCCUGACGCAGCGACGCCGCGUGAGGGAUGAAGGUCUUCGGAUCGUAAACCUCUGUCAGCAGGGAAGUACGGUCACUGUGCUAAUCAGCAGUGAAUUGACGGUACCUGCAAAGGAAGCCCCGGCUAACUCCGUGCCAGCAGCCGCGGUAAUACGGAGGGUGCGAGCGUUAAUCGGAAUUACUGGGCGUAAAGCGCUCGUAGGCGGUAUGUCAAGUCAAGGGUGAAAUCCCCGCGCUCAACGUGGGAACUGCCUUUGAUACUGGCAAACUGGAGUGUGUGAGAGGAUAGUGGAAUUCGAGGUGUAGGAGUGAAAUGCGUAGAUAUCUGGAGGAACAUCAGUGGCGAAGGCGACUAUCUGGCACAUAACUGACGCUGAGGAGCGAAAGCGUGGGUAGCAAACAGGAUUAGAUACCCUUGUAGUC